CAACAGUCCUAAUCACAUUAAACAUAUGCAACAAAAGCAUAGUUAUUUCUCAGCAAGACUGGCUGAACCUUUAGUAGAGUGAGGUAACUGUCUCAGGUAACUGAUUUGGAUAUUUUGAGAAGUCAAAUGAUUAUUUAUUUUUGGAUUUCUGCUGUGAGGUUUUUCUUGCAAAGCCCUUAAUAAGUUGCCUGACUUCGGCUACAGAGCACUCUGCCUUUGAUUGCGAUGGUUUCUCUGGGUUGAAUAAGUGUGCAUGACAUUAUCCUGAGCCUACCAGAUCAUCUUCCUCAGUAUAAAUAUCUUCAUGGAGAGAAUGGAUUCAUUAGUUCUAAUCUAUGAGACAAUAACCCUCUGAUAGAUAUUAAUAUUUCUUCAGUUUUAGAUAAUAAAAUAACUUAACCGUCUGUUGAUAUACUGUAUUGGACUGAAACCCCCCAAAGACCCAACCCAAAAUAAACCUCAUUAUGGCUUAGUACAAUGUGUUCUCACAGUCACUAUGACAAUAAAAGUUAAGAGGCUGGUUAAUCUAUUUUCCUGUCCAUCUCUAGCCAACCUAAUUUAUACCCUUUGUUGGUUUAGCCACUCUGUUUCUGACUAAGUGAACUACUAAAGAAAAGAAAAGAAAAGAAAAGAAGAAACUUUUAUUAACAUUUGUUGAUCUGAAAUGAUGCAACAUGUUCCUUCAGUUUUUUUAACCACCAUAGACUUAAUGGCUCCCCUUUCAUCAUGCCAAUGAAGAUAAUUCUAUCUCAUAGAUAAUUUAAAGAGCUUUCUAUAGAAAUUGUCUUCCAUUAAAAAAAAACUCAGUUCUUUCCAUUUGACUCAAUAGCAUGCCUUUAUUCUUCACUGAUAUUUCAGUGUGUUUUGCUAAUUUUAUUUAUUAAUGGUUUGUUAUUAUUUUAAUUUAUAUAUGAACUUUCUGUUAAUUUAGUUUAUAUUAUGCUUUUGCAAGAUAUUUAUGUACCAUAGAAAAUAUAACUUUGAGAUAUUGAAAUUUUGUAUUUAAGAUGAUACUUAAAUAUUAUUAACUAAUUUAAUUUUUAAAUGGCAUAUAUCUUUAAAUUCCUUUCAAUCUUUUAAAAUGUCUUCUGUUCCUAAAUGCUAAAGUGACUAUUAUAUCAACUGCUACUAAUAAUCGCUACUGCUUCUAGCCAAGUAAGGUAAUUUAAUGUAUUUUACAGGAAUAUGUCUAUGUAUUCAGAUGAUUUAUUUCUAGUUAAGUUUAUAUCAAAUUAUAAGCUCAUUUUCCAACCCUGAAAUUUCUAGAAUAUGAAACUGCUCAAUAGGGGCCAUCUGUUAUACAUCUAAAAAUGUUUAACUUGAAUUUUGUUACAAUGGAAUACCAGUUGGUGAAAUAAUAGUUAUUUAUUAAGUAGCUUCCUGUUCUGUUGCCUCUUUUGUCUGUGGGUGCAUAUAGUUCCUAAUACUUUGUUAUUAUGUUUUAUUCCCUUCCUUAAAAUUAUUUUCUUUUUAAAAUUGAGCCAUUUCUUAAGUGAUUUCCAAUAGAUAUUGCCCGGUAUUGUCAUAAGCAACUUUUAAAACAUUUAUAUGAAAGAAGAAAUUAUUCUGUGCAUUUUUGAAGAGAAAUCUGUAUUUAAUUUGCUCCAAAUGCCAAAAUCUGAUAAAUUUGCUUCACCGGGUAGCAACAUUUUUGUAACUGAUACCUAUUGACUACAAAGUUAAACCAGUUUCUAAAAGAGAGAGAUGAUGUAACUAGAGUAAAAUGUCUGAGUUCUCAAAGUUUUAUGAGCUUUGCAUUUGUGUACUUAGUCAUAAGGCUUUAAGCUAUUAUCUAUAUGCAUAGAAUCAAACACAAAAGACUGAUUCACCCUUGAACUCAGAAAUGGGAAAGAUACUGUACUAACAGAAGUUUGGAACUGUAGAAUCACUGCAUUCUUGUAAUCUUAAAAGUAUAAUGCUAGAUCUAUUCCCUUUGAAAGCAAUUCCUAUUGUAUACAGGAAGUGUAACUCCAAGAUAAAUAUGCACCAAAUUUCAACCCUACAUUUAUUUAUAUAGAAAAGUUCAUUUCUUAAGCGUUUGAAACAUAAUGAUUUAACAAUGCAUGAUAACCAUUAAACAACUUAUUUGCCAAAUGUUCCCCAUAUACUUAUUUCAAAUAUGAGUGCAGGAGAAUUUUAAAGCUUACAUGUUUUAUCUUAUUUUAUUAACAGCUUAAAAUUAAAUACCUAGCAAAAAGUAUUUUUUCACCCUAGAUAAAGCUCACCAGGAGUCCAACUAGUAAUUAUCACAAACUGAUGAAAGAAUGAGCUCCUAUUUUAACACAUUGACUCCUAUCCAAAGUUACAUUUUGACAUAUUAAAGGAAGAGAAAAUAGAGGGUGCCACCAUGUUUUUCCCAUUGAAUUUGUGAUACUUUCCCAUUAAAGUUCUCUGGUGAAACUUUUACCAGGGUUGGCUAAACACCCACACAAUUACAGACUUCUGAUUCUGGAUGGAAUUGUAAAUGAAUUUAUGCAGAUUUCAAUAAAAAUUGGUCAUUUCAGAAAUGUCUACUCAAUCACAAAUGUCAAAGAUAGAACAGGCUAGCAGAAAAGUCUGGGAAAAUACAGGCAGGCUUUCCUAUAUAAUAUUAGAUAAGCUAGGAAAAGAAGCCAAUCUUACACUACUAUGGAGCAAAUGUAUCAACUGCAUAAAAGUCUUUUACAUCAUUAUUCAUUUUAUCAUAUAUGACAACUGCAGAUAGUCCUCAACUGCUCACCACAAUUGUGCCCAAGCCGGUUGUGAAGCGAGUUUUGCUCCAGUUUCUUUGCCAUAGUUAAUUACUGGAGUUAUUAAGUUAAACAAAUGCCAGUUGCUGAGUGUCCAAAUUUUGAUCACAUGACUGUGGCGAUGCUGCAAUGGUCAUAAGCAGGGCUUUUUUUCUCAUAGAACGCCCAGAAUGGAGU